rnacentral:rRNA from 1 species
GUGGGGAAUAUUGGACAAUGGGGGGAACCCUGAUCCAGCCAUGCCGCGUGUGUGAAGAAGGCCUUUUGGUUGUAAAGCACUUUAAGCGAGGAGGAGGCUACCGAGAUUGAUACUCUUGGAUAGUGGACGUUACUCGCAGAAUAAGCACCGGCUAACUCUGUGCCAGCAGCCGCGGUAAUACAGAGGGUGCAAGCGUUAAUCGGAUUUACUGGGCGUAAAGCGCGCGUAGGUGGCCAAUUAAGUCAAAUGUGAAAUCCCCGAGCUUAACUUGGGAAUUGCAUUCGAUACUGGUUGGCUAGAGUAUGGGAGAGGAUGGUAGAAUUCCAGGUGUAGCGGUGAAAUGCGUAGAGAUCUGGAGGAAUACCGAUGGCGAAGGCAGCCAUCUGGCCUAAUACUGACACUGAGGUGCGAAAGCAUGGGGAGCAAACAGGAUUAGAAACCCCUGUAGUCC